rnacentral:rRNA from 1 species
GACGAGCCACACAAACGUUAUUCGGAAUCACUGGGCUUAAAGGGUGCGUAGGCGGCGCAGCAAGUUGGGUGUGAAAUCCUACAGCUUAACUGUAGAAGUGCACUCAAAACUGCUGUGCUUGAGGGAGACAGAGGUGAGCGGAACUGAGGGUGGAGCGGUGAAAUGCGUUGAUAUCCUCAGGAACACCGGUGGCGAAAGCGGCUCACUGGGUCUCUUCUGACGCUGAGGCACGAAAGCUAGGGGAGCGAAC